rnacentral:tRNA from 1 species
AAGGCUUUAAGUUAAUAAAACUAAUAUCCUUCAAAGUUAUAAAUAAAACUCAUUUUUAAGCCUUA